UCGUGGACUGAUUUGUCUGGUUGAUUCCGUUAACGAGCGGGAUCUUAACCUGCUAAAUAGGCCGCUAAGGUCCAUCCUUGGUAGUGCCUUCUUAGAGGGACAUUGCGUGUUUAACGCAAGGAAGUUUGAGGCAAUAACA
rnacentral:rRNA from 1 species